rnacentral:rRNA from 1 species
UGCCCUAGUAACGGCGAGUGAAGCGGCAACAGCUCAAAUUUGAAAUCUGGCCCUAGGCCCGAGUUGUAAUUUGCAGAGGAUGCUUUUGGUGACGCGCUUACCGAGUCCCCUGGAACGGGGCGCCACAGAGGGUGAGAGCCCCGUAUGGUUUGACGCCGAGCCUCUGUAAAGCUCCUUCGACGAGUCGAGUAGUUUGGGAAUGCUGCUCUAAAUGGGAGGUAAAUUUCUUCUAAAGCUAAAUACCGGCCAGAGACCGAUAGCGCACAAGUAGAGUGAUCGAAAGAUGAAAAGCACUUUGAAAAGAGGGUUAAAUAGCACGUGAAAUUGUUGAAAGGGAAGCGCUCGUGACCAGACUUGCGCCGGGCGGAUCAUCCAGCGUUCUCGCUGGUGCACUCCGCCCGGCUCAGGCCAGCAUCGGUUUUCGCCGGGGGACAAAAGCUUCGGGAACGUAGCUCCCCUCGGGGAGUGUUAUAGCCCGUCGCGUAAUACCCCGGCGGGGACCGAGGACCGCGCUUCGGCAAGGAUGCUGGCGUAAUGGUCAUCAGCGACCCGUCUUGAAACACGGACCGAGGAGUCAAGCAUUAGUGCGAGUGUUUGGGUGUAAAACCCGCACGCGUAAUGAAAGUGAACGUAGGUGAGAGCUUCGGCGCAUCAUCGACCGAUCCUGAUGUUUUCGGAUGGAUUUGAGUAGGAGCAUUAACGCUUGGACCCGAAAGAUGGUGAACUAUACUUGAAUAGGGUGAAGCCA